GGGACUAUGGUCUGAAACAUUCCUGAGAAACGUAAGAGCAAAGGUUACAGUCUGUGCCUGAAGCAGGAGGAGCGAGAAAGCCAGGGCUGUCCAGGGAGCAAACUGCUCUCCCACCUGCUGGGGCACAGAUGAGAGACCUUUCCAAGGACCAGUGGACUCAUGGGAUGGAGAAGCUGGAGUCCCUUGGAAGAGCUAUGUGCAGGGAGACUGUCUGGUGGAGGAGAAUUGUUGAUUGCAAACACAAGUGCAUGUGAGUGUAGAGGGACAGGCCUGCUCUCUGUAUCCCUCUCCUGGCCCUCCCUGUGCUUUUGCUUUGGUCAGCAGGCUAAAGGAGGAGGUAAGGGGCAUUUGCAGUCUUCUCCUGUUUGUUAGAGGAGCCAAGGCAGCUGGUGGGUAGAUGUGGAAUUGGGGUGGGGGUGGAGUUGGGGGUUGGCUUGCAGGUUCACUUGUUUCAGGGCUGGCUUGUGUAGCUCCCUUGGCAUCUAGGAUUCCCUGGAGAGAUUGGUGUGAAUUGUCAGUAUGCUUCCCACCUGGUUACACAGUGUCAGCAUUCCCCUGACCUCACAAAGUGGUCCCCCACACCUACCUACUCUUUCUGCCUUCUAUGCAGGCUCCAGAACCCUAAAGCAACCAUCUCCCACACUGCUUGGGCACCACUGGGAUCUUGAUGAUUCAUUGUUGUCCAUUCCUACCUAGAAGGCUACAUCUUUCUCCUGUGAGCCUUUUCUUAACACUUAAUGGCCCACUGUGCGUCAGCAGACGGCGUGUCUCACAAAAAAAUCUAGGCAUCAACGACACGCCCCCUUCCCUUUGUGUGUGCAGAAACACCCACAUUCCAUGGGUGACUUUUGCCUGUUCUGUUCCGUUUGCAUCCUCCAGCAUAGCCUCCCUUCAAAAAGGGAUAAUAAAUAUGCUUUUUAACUUUUCGUUUUAGAUAAAUUAUCUCUCCUUUGUAAGUUUUGUUAAUAAACCUAGCAGGUCCUUUUGUAGUCAUGAAAUAAUAUAGAAGUAAAAUAUAUUUUUAUUUUCUUGAAUAAGAAACUAAGUUGCUCACGUGACAUUGUGAUCCCCUGUCCCAGGUCCCUCCUUCCACCUACAGCUGGGGCAAAGCAUUGCAUAAGGGGAUUGUUGUUUUUCCUUCAGUCUUCCUUCAGGAAUCUGGGUGAGCUGGGAAGGAAACACGGUCUCAACUUGCCAUCACACAUUAGAUGCAUGCCCUCACCCUACUCUAUGUGAAUGUGUGUGAUAUUAUCAUACACUCAAUGUGGUUAUACUACUCAAAAUACAUAACUUUGCCCCAAUAUUUUCCCCAAUUAGAGAUUUAUACUCCACAGAAAACUUACAAGGAUGUUUGUAAAAGCUGAAGACUGGGAAUGACAGAAAUAUUUCAUUAUUUAAGUGUUGGGUUAAGUCAUUACAUAACAUCUAUACAUUCCAAUUAUUGAUUUGACUGUAUAGAUAUUACAUAGUGACUUAACCCAACACUUAAGUAUGAAAUUAUUCAGUCAAAAUUAACAGUUGGACUGUAUACAUAUUACAUAAUUACUUAACCCAACACUGUUAACAACAGUCAAAUUAACAUUUGACUGUAUAGAUAUUAACAACACUGAGGUAUUUAAUAAGACUGAGGAAGGCUUGUAUGUUCUGCUGUGUAAUCUUCUCUAAGAUAUAUCAUCAAGUGAAUAAAGUUCAUUUUCAAUUACGAUUUAACAUCCCCAAAUUAAUACACUGUUUUACUUACUUACUACCUUAGCAGAAGUCAGCUAUGUGGCUUCCUUUUCUUAAUUUCUCCAAAUCAGGCCCUAAUGAAGAUCUCCGUCCUUAAAUUUUUACUGUGCAUGUCUGACUCUUUCGUUAAGAUAAUCCUGGUGUUAGAAUAUUUGGAUGAUAAAAUACUCACAUUUGCUAUUUGGACACAUAUUGUCAAGUAGCUUUCCAAAAGAGUUGUAUGCACUUAUAAUUUUAUCAGCAUAAUGUGAGGAGAUUCAUCUCACUAGGGUCGUUUUUGUGUUUGACACAUCCUCAGACAGCCCCCAAACAUACUCAUGGUACUCAUGCUUGUUGGUAUUUGUGAGGGUUACAUAUACUCAUUACUCUUCAUGUGACUCCUUUCCCUUGAGUGUAAGCUGAACCUAGUGAUUUGCUUCUAAGAAGCAGAAUAAGGCAAAUGUAAUGGGAUGCAAAUUCCAUGAUUAUGUUACAAAUCACCUUGACCUUGUCUUUCUAGGACUCUGUAUCUUGCUGAGCCUUCUUAGCUUGGAUUCUUUGAUGAAACACCACCAUAUUGGAGCAUUCCACCUGCCAAAGAACUGAAGGCAAGCUUCAGCCAACAGCCAGCAAGGAACUAAGAUCUUCAGCCCAAAGCCACAGGGAACUGAGUCCUGCCAACUGCCACAUCAGUGAGCAUAGAUGGGAUCCUCCACAGUUGAACUUUCAGAUAAGACCAGAGCCACACCUGACAAUUUGAUUGCAGCCUUGCAGACAACCCUGAAGCAGAGGACCCAGUUCAAUCAUGCUGGGAUUCCUGACCCACAGAAUCCAUGAGAAAAUAAAUGUGUGUGUUUAAGCCUCUACAUUUUGAGGCAAUUUGUUAUACAGCAAGAGAUAAUGAAUACUUUUGUUAUUUUUCAUUUUAGGUAAAUUAUUUCUACUUUGCAAGUUUGCGUAAUAAGUCUAGUAAAUCCUUCUGUAGUCAUGAAAUAAUACAGAAGUAAGAAAAAAAAUCCCAUUUUCUUGAAUGAGAAAGCAAGGUGCUGACAUAACAUUGUGAUCCUCUGUCCUAGGUCUCUCCUUCCAUCCAUGGCUGGGGCAAAGCAUUUCGUAAGGGGAUCUUUGCCUGCACUACUCCUCCCAGGUGGACAUCUCUUCUCUGUGAUUUUCACUGAGAGCAUUUAUUCAACAUGGAUUUGAGUUCCUAGUAUGAGCUUGAAAUCAUGGAGGAAUAAGACAUAUGGAGAUUUGAUGUGCAUAUCUCACGUCCUGCCUCCAUGCCAUUUCUCAUAUUGUAACUCCUCUUGGGAGCCUCUUCCUUCUUCAUUUUGACUUUCAAAAUUUUGUGCCGAUUACAAAGCCCCACAUUCUCUAUGAUGUUUUCUUUCCAACCCUCUGGUGCCCAUCCACCUGUAAAUGUCUAUGACAACAGAACCACAUAGCAAAGGCUGAUGUCAUCAAUUCUCUCUGAGUUAACCUCCGACUUGGUAAGAUGUGUGAGCCUUUAUCAGUUAUGAACAGGGAAUGAGUCAAACCAAGUUAUAGUUCCUAAAAUAGUUACAUGACCCCUAAGCAGCCUUGUUAUAAAAUGCUCUAAGAUGAAAUUAAAAGGUCACACAAUUAUUGUUUUUACUUCCAAGGUUCAGAAAUAUACUUAACACAUUUUAGCUCUUAAUUAUUUUUAGUUCUAUAAUACUAAGUCUUCUAAUGAAUAUUAACUUAAAGCUGGGCAUUAAACAUUCAACUGUGAACUAAAUGUAAACUCUCUGACCCUAGGCAAACAGAAUUUAAUUUUUUAAAAAUGUGGAAAUCUAAUUAGCUAUCACACUUAGGCCCCAUGAGGCCACUCGUAAUGUGUAACUGAUACUUCCAGGUGUCCUGCUGGUGGCUUGAAUCAAUUAGUGAUCUUUAUUGAAGCUGAAUAUAAUUAAUUACACAACUUUGAGAUGUUCAAGUCUAAUUUCACUAAAAUUACAUCAUAAAGCUGGGGCAUUUCAGGGCUUCUGACAGAAAAAAAAACAAGCAUGAAUAAUUACUCAGUUAAAUUCAUGGCACAUAAAUUCAUACCACAAAAUUGAACUCCUUUAGCUUACCGUUGUCAGAGAUAAAAAUGCCCUGGGGUCACACACAUAGGAUUGUUGAACAGGUGCUCACUACUGAAGAAACAUGUGUGUUACUUAUCUAAACUAUAAGCCUAUCGGGGGACUAUGUGCACAGAUAUUUUUCUGAAACAUGUAAGUUAAUUGCUUAUUCACUAGGAUGACACCACCAAGACCUAUUUCUGACAUGAGGUGUGUUCCCUGUCAUCCUAGCUGCAAUAAAGGCCUGAGCAAUAGGAACUAUUACAGAAAACCAGAUCCAACACAUACAAAAACUUAGGAUCAUAAAAUACUUGAGAAUCGAAGCUAAUCUUGCCUCUUCCUCUAGUCUCCCUAAAAUGUGAUUGUAGGUUACAUCUGAGACAAAAUAUCAAAGAAAUUCGAGAUAGUUUCUCAGCAUCUAUGUCAGUUAUCUAUUACCACAUUAAUACUGUGUAACAAAGCGCCCUAAAGGUAAAGUCUUAAAAGAAGACACAUUUACUAUUGCUCAUGAGUCUACAGGUCAACAGAGUGGUUUUGUUCUGCUGAUCUUGGUGAGUUUGUUUGGCAAGCUGUGGUUUGAACCAAGGCUUACUAACUUGUCCGGUGGUAGGCAAGCUUUUGGCUGAUUGAGGAUGCCUCUGUUCCAUGGGCAUGUUUUUAUGAAGAUCUCAGGGGUGAGAAAGGAAGAGAGAGAGAGAGAGCUGCAAGGCUUCAUGAAGCCUGGCCUCAGAAAUGGCACCACAUCACUUUUCCAACAUUCUGUCCCCAAAGCAAGACACAGACCAGUGCAGAUUCAAGGAGUGGGGAAAUAGACUCUACCUCUUAGAGGAAGAACUUGUAAAGUCACAAAGUAAAGAAAGGGGGGAAAAUUCGGUCUAUUUCCCAAUCAAUCUACUACAGCAUCCAGAAAUGGAUGGACUUAUUCACGUUUGCACUCAGAAAUAUGUAGUUCAUUUUCAUUAUUCUUGAUAGUCAUAUUCUAUAAAGAUACCGUGAACAUGCAUUUGUGGGUACUGAAUUAUUGCUUCAAGGGGAAAUUUGCUUUAUAUAGGUUUAUUUGUCAACAUUAUUCUUGUGAAACAAGCCAGUCUCAUCAGUGCUGAAAAUUGUGCUCUUCCACUUAGCCCUUUUCCUGUAUAAUACUUAGCAGG
rnacentral:lncRNA from 10 species